rnacentral:rRNA from 1 species
AUUGAACGCUGGCGGCAGGCUUAACACAUGCAAGUCGAGCGGGGGAAGGUAGCUUGCUACUGGACCUAGCGGCGGACGGGUGAGUAAUGCUUAGGAAUCUGCCUAUUAGUGGGGGACAACAUCUCGAAAGGGAUGCUAAUACCGCAUACGUCCUACGGGAGAAAGCAGGGGAUCUUCGGACCUUGCGCUAAUAGAUGAGCCUAAGUCGGAUUAGCUAGUUGGUGGGGUAAAGGCCUACCAAGGCGACUAUCUGUAGCGGGUCUGAGAGGAUGAUCCGCCACACUGGGACUGAGACACGGCCCAGACUCCUACGGGAGGCAGCAGUGGGGAAUAUUGGACAAUGGGGGGAACCCUGAUCCAGCCAUGCCGCGUGUGUGAAGAAGGCCUUAUGGUUGUAAAGCACUUUAAGCGAGGAGGAGGCUACUUUAGUUAAUACCUAGAGAUAGUGGACGUUACCCGCAGAAUAAGCACCGGCUAACUCUGUGCCAGCCGCCGCAGUAA